rnacentral:pre_miRNA from 1 species
GUUUGAGGAUGCAUCAUCAUCAAGAUUCACAAACUUGAAAGGAGAAAGGAUCUACAUACGGGUUAGGUCGAACCCAGUAUAUUUGCUCAAAAUAGUGUAUUUAUCUUAAGAAAUUUAUUAAAUAUGUACAUAUAUUAAAUUUUGAAAUCAUUUAUUACAUUUGAGGUCGUUGUUCUAAAAUCCAAGAUUCUCCUAAAUUUCAUAUGGGAAUCUUGAUGAUGCUGCAUCAUCAAACAU